rnacentral:rRNA from 1 species
GAUGAACGCUAGCUACAGGCUUAACACAUGCAAGUCGAGGGGCAGCGCAGUGUAGCAAUACAUGGGCGGCGACCGGCGCACGGGUGCGUAACGCGUAUCCAACCUUCCCGUUACUCAGGGAUAGCCUUCCGAAAGGGAGAUUAAUACCCCAUAGUAUUGGAUUUAGGCAUCUUUAUCCAAUUAAAGAAUUUCGGAAACGGAUAGGCUCGCGUGACAUUAGCUAGAUGGCGGGGUAACGGCCCACCAUGGCGACGAUGUCUAGGGGUUCUGAGAGGAAGGUCCCCCACACUGGAACUGAGACACGGUCCAGACUCCUACGGGAGGCAGCAGUGAGGAAUAUUGGUCAAUGGUCGAAAGACUGAACCAGCCAUGCCGCGUGAAGGUGACGGCCCUAUGGGUCUUAAACUUCUUUUGUAAGGGAGCAAUAAGGUUCACGUGUGGACUGAUGAGAGUACCUUACGAAUAAGCAUCGGCUAACUCCGUG